GACGAACGCUGGCGGCGUGCUUAACACAUGCAAGUCGAACGGAAAGGCCCUGCUUUUGUGGGGUGCUCGAGUGGCGAACGGGUGAGUAACACGUGAGUAACCUGCCCUUGACUUUGGGAUAACUUCGGGAAACUGGGGCUAAUACCGGAUAGGAGCUCCUGCUGCAUGGUGGGGGUUGGAAAGUUUCGGCGGUUGGGGAUGGACUCGCGGCUUAUCAGCUUGUUGGUGGGGUAGUGGCUUACCAAGGCUUUGACGGGUAGCCGGCCUGAGAGGGUGACCGGCCACAUUGGGACUGAGAUACGGCCCAGACUCCUACGGGAGGCAGCAGUGGGGAAUAUUGCACAAUGGGCGGAAGCCUGAUGCAGCAACGCCGCGUGCGGGAUGACGGCCUUCGGGUUGUAAACCGCUUUCGCCUGUGACGAAGCGUGAGUGACGGUAAUGGGUAAAGAAGCACCGGCUACUACGUG
rnacentral:rRNA from 1 species